UAACUAUUCAUAUUUUUAAACAUCUUUAGGCUUGAAAAUUCAAGAAAUGAUAUUUAGGGCAUUCCAAACAGAUAUAACUUCAUAUUAACUUUGACAUUUUACAGAUAUCUUCCAAUUUUUUUUUUUUUUUUUUUUGAGAUGGAGUCUUGCUCUGUCGCGAUCUGUAUCAUGGAGUUCAAACUGAACAGGAUUUUGUCAUCUGCACCACUCAAGCGGCCACAAUUUCCCCAGUUUGCUGUUUUUAUUCCACCCCAAUUGCUGGA
rnacentral:lncRNA from 1 species